AGAGAAAGAGCUACCUAUGAUACCUAAGGCCAUUCAAAGAUUCACUUGCCUCGGGGGAUUCUUGGACAGACUGAAAAACUUGAAAAAAGAGGUGACAUGACUCCCUAGCGUGUUGAAUUGCUACCUACUGCUACAUGAUACCUCUUUCUCCUAAAAAGAGAGAUUGCGAAGCAAAAGAAAAGAAGUCAGACUGGCUACAGCAGCAUUAGGUCUUUGGGGAUUCCUCCCUGUAGUAAUGCGUUCCCUUAAGAUUCAUGCAGCAGUGUCUGGUUCCUACCUCCAACUUCUCCCUCCAUCUCUCUCUGAAGAAACAGUACUGCAACUGCAAGUUUCAACAUGGAAGAAAAACAUCAAAGUAAUGACAGUAAUAUAUAAUAUUCCAAGCAAAUUAGGACCUGGACUGCUUCCUCAGCAUACUUUCCUACCUGAAGAGUGAAUUUCACUAACACUGAGUUCCUGUGAAAGAGAUACCUCUUGCCUUUAGGACAAGUUGAUUUAUAUGGUAUAAUACUACAAGAGGAAGACUGCUAUGCAUGAAGUGCAGUG